UACAGAGGUGGCAAGCGUUGUUCGGAAUUACUGGGCGUAAAGGGCGCGUAGGCGGUCCGAUAAGUCCCGUGUGAAAGCCCCCGGCUCAACUGGGGAACUGCACGGGAAACUGACGGACUUGAGUUCGGGAGAGGGAAGCGGAAUUCCGGGUGUAGCGGUGGAAUGCGUAGAGAUCCGGAGGAAGACCGGUGGCGAAGGCGGCCUGCUGGGCAGUUACUGACACUGAUGCGCGACAGCGUGGGGAGCAAACAGG
rnacentral:rRNA from 1 species